GCCCCGAUGGUGGAAUUUGGUAGACACAUUAGAUUUAAGCUCUAACAAGCAUUGCGCUUAUGAGGGUUCGAGUCCCUCUCGGGGUA
rnacentral:tRNA from 1 species